UGCUCGAGACCUUAAGUCACUGAACGGGUCGUAAAUUCUUAAAACGACAAGUCGGGUCGUUACAAGAUUCAAGGUCUUAUUGUUCAUGAACAUGCAGUGAUGAGAUUAAGCAUGAGACUAGUAAAGAAUAAUGUCUUUUUCCUAUUGUUGGGGAGUCGUACGGUGGAGUAGAUGUAUUUGAGUUAGAUGAGAAAACAUGGUUGCAAGCACAUCGGCAUGUGCUUUUCAAUUGUGAGUCAGAAGUGGUUGAGAAUUAUAAAAAGGAACAUAUUGCUGAAAUCAAAAGAGCACAUCAUAAGCGUCGUUUGACACAACAUCAACUUGACCGUAUGCAUUUCGAUACAUUCCACGAGUGGUUCAAAGAGCAAGUAAAGGAGUUGGAAGCUACAUCUAACAUCUUAAAGGAUGUUAAAGUCCUUGCACGAGGGCCGAGUUACAUUACAAAAGGAUUUAGUGCGUUUGAUGUAAAUAAUGGCUAUCGAUUCCGAACAAAACAAAGUGAAGAGUUCAAGAAGUUCUCUAUCCCAAGACGGGGAGAAGCUUAUGUCCUAAAGUCACUAGGAAAGAAAUGGAAAGAUUACAAGUGCGAUUUAAAAGGUGAAUAUCUGCCAAAAUAUAAGACUAAAGACGCUUUGCUGAAAAAUAGACCAAGUCGCAUACCGAGGGAUCAAUGGAGUGGUCUUGUCUCCUAUUGGCUUUCAGAUAAAGCUAAGGCUGUAAAUGGAGUAGGGCCUACACGAGCACAAGUUUUCUUAUUAACUCAUACAAAAUGUAAGGAUGGUAGACCACUGGAUGAUGAUUCUGCGAAGGCAAUCGAAAUUAUAAAUGAAAGGAUGAAUAAUAGUGACAGCUCUACUGAUCAACCUCCUCGCAGUGUUGCUUGGGAAGGCGAUGUGUAUUCCCAGGUGUUCGGAAAUGACAAAAGUGGGUAUGUUCGUGAUUUAGGACUUGGUCCAACUCCUUCUGUGCUAUGGGGUAGUAGAUCUUCCUUAGGAAAUAUUGUUGCAGAGGAUUCGUCUAAUGAGGCCGUACAAAGGUUAAUUCGUCUAAUGAGGCCGUACAAAGGUUAAUUCGUCUAAUGAGGCCGUACAAAGGUUAACACAGGAGAUAACUGAGUUAAAGGAUAAACACAAUGAAGAAAUGAAUCUGAUGAAAUAAAAUCAGGAGAAGAUGCAAUCAGAAUUAAUCCAAAUGAGACAAUUGAUGCGCAAAUAUGUUUCUAAUGAAUCUAUGCCUCAAAAUAUCAAUGGCACCUCAAGUGAACAGGUCAUACAGUCUGAUGUUCGAUAAUUUAGCGGUUGGAAGAUUUCAAAAUGAUGAAAAGUUGCGGAAAUCAUUUGAAGACCAUCAUUC